GGAGAAGUGUCCGAGUGGCCGAAGGAGCACGCCUGGAAAGUGUGUAUACGUUAAUCCGUAUCGAGGGUUCGAAUCCCUCCUUCUCCGCCA
rnacentral:tRNA from 1 species